GCAGGUGGGGGUUACUUCGUCUUUUAAACGAGAGGCUGCGGGUUCGAAUCCCGUCCCGGCUGCU
rnacentral:tRNA from 1 species